rnacentral:tRNA from 1 species
GGGCGCUUAGCUCAGCUGGUUAGAGUACUUGCUUGACAGGCAAGGGGUCACAGGUUCGAACCCUGUAGCGCGCA